UACGUAGGGUGCGAGCGUUAAUCGGAAUUACUGGGCGUAAAGCGCGCGCAGGCGGCCGAGCAAGUCGAGUGUGAAAGCCCCGAGCUUAACUUGGGAACUGCGCUCGAAACUAUUUGGCUAGAGUGUGGCAGAGGGAGGUGGAAUUCCACGUGUAGCGGUGAAAUGCGUAGAGAUGUGGAGGAACACCGAUGGCGAAGGCAGCCUCCUGGGCCAACACUGACGCUCAUGCACGAAAGCGUGGGGAGCAAACAGG
rnacentral:rRNA from 1 species